GAUGAACGCUGGCGGCGUGCUUAAUGCAUGCAAGUCGAACGAGAACCUUUUGUAGGUAACUACAGAGAGACUUCUAGUGGCGAACGGGUGAGUAACACGUGAGAAACCUGCCCCGAAGACCGGGAUAGCCCAUGGAAACGUGGAUUAAUACCGGAUACCCUCACGGAAUCGCAUGGUUCUGUGAGGAAAUGCUCCGGCGCUUUGGGAUGGUCUCACGGCCUAUCAGCUUGUUGGUGAGGUAACGGCUCACCAAGGCACUGACGGGUAGCUGGUCUGAGAGGACGAUCAGCCACACUGGGACUGAGACACGGCCCAGACUCCUACGGGAGGCAGCAGCAGGGAAUAUUGCACAAUGGGCGCAAGCCUGAUGCAGCGACGCCGCGUGAGGGAUGAAGGCUUUCGGGUUGUAAACCUCUUUCAGUGGGGAAGAAGCGCAAGUGACGGUACCCACACAAGAAGGCCCGGCCAACUACGUG
rnacentral:rRNA from 1 species